GCAGAGCUCCCCAGCAAUGAAACUCCCAAUAAUGUGCAGUGUGUGGGUGUAUCGCAGAGCUCCCCAACAAUUAAACUCCCAAUAAUGUGCAGUGUGUGGUGUAUCGCAGAGCUCCCCAGCAAUUAAACUCCCAAUAAUAUGCAGUGUGGGGGUGUAUCGCAGAGCUCCCCAGCAAUGAAACUCCCAAUAAUAUGCAGUGUGUGGGUGUAUCACAGAGCUCCCCAACAAUUAAACUCCCAAUAAUGUGCAGUGGGUGGUGUAUCGCAGAGCUCCCUAGCAAUUAAACUCCCAAUAAUAUGCAGUGUGUGGGUGUAUCGCAGAGCUCCCCAGCAAUGAAACUCCCAAUAAUGUGCAGUGUGUGGUGUAUCGCAGAGCU